rfam:Echinops telfairi cont1.585990, whole genome shotgun sequence.
AAAGUCUGCAGCCCGAGCAUUUGAAACUCCCCUUCACAAGGGCUGACUGUAGCUGGGGGAAGACGGUCUACUCAUCUGCUCUCUCCUUUCAGCCAGCGGGCUGUCUUCCCAGGUGUAGAUCACCUAUUCUAACUUCACCUGUUUUGAUACCCUGAUGAGGAAAGUCCCAGGACUUGUCAGCUGGGAUAGGCCCCAUGACAGGGCCGCUCG